AAGAAGUUAUGACCUGUCGAAGUUUCGCGACAAAACCGGCACGGUGCUGAAUGUCGUAAAAAGUGAGUUUUUGAUAAACUACUUUUUAGCCUUAGUAAUCUAAACGAAAGUUGUAGUAUUCGUUAAACCGAGAAGUUCAAUAAAAAGAACGCCCAAAUCUGACUUCGUAUGAGGAAGUUAUGAUUUUUCGAAGUUUCAGCGUAGUAGUAGACAGCUAAAAACUCGAAUUUUAGAUCGAGCGAUUUUUAGCCGAUANUUUUUUAGCCUACAACCUAAACGAGAAUUGAAGGUCUCGUCAUUAGGAGCACAACGGUAAAAAGUCUGAUGAAAACGGACAUCGGAUGAAAAAGUUAUGAAUUUUUAACGAAUUUCCUGUCCCGGUCUGUUAAAAAUAAUAAUAUAAAAUUUAAAGUCAAAAUUAGCCGACGAAGUCUAAACGGAAGUUGUAGAUCGUAAUUUUAGCUACGCGUGCAUAUAAAGAACGUCAAAAACGGAGCUCGUAUGCGAAAGUUAUGGAUUUUAGAAGUUUUGGCGCGAAAACCGAGAAAUUUCGCAUAGUCACACUUUGCCACGUCACCCUCGCCUCGCAUGUGACACGUGUCCUGCUGAGUCACCGAAGCUGCUGAGUCACCAGGCUGCUGAGUCACGAAGCCACCUGGCGAGGCGUGUCAUGUCCUUCCGAGUCCGAGCUGCGGUCCAAUCCGCUGACUACACGUAGAAGCCUCGGUGGCGAGCCUCGCAUCCGACGCGUGUGUAGUGACUCAUGAGUCCGAACCCUCGCAGGCGCCACGAACCCCCUACUUCGGACCCUAGACCUCGGUCCAAUCACAAGCCGCCAGAGAGCCCUUCGCACGCGCAGCCCUCAUGCGAGCCUCCCCCUCUGCGAGCCUUCUCAGCCGUCGGAUCAGAAGACUCCUGACCGUCCGAUCAGAAGCUUCCCCCUAUAAAUAGGAGGGUGCGAGACCUCCCGGGUAUUUUUGGAAUUUUGCCAUAUUUAGCCCCUAAACCCAUAUUUUCUUCAUAUUAACAUCCCGCAAAGCCCCGGUAUCGAUUGUAAAGCCCGGAAUACCCCACGAAGUGCCCGAGAAGCCCGGAAAAUUUAUCUUUUCGGUUUCGAAGCCCGACUUUUACAAAGCCCGGUUUCUCAAUAAAACUCCCGGUUUUAUUAGAAACGAUCGUUUUAGGAAACGAAUUGCUGCCCGAUUAUCAUCAAAUCAUGUGAGUGUAUAGUCACUUUCAUUUUACACAUAGAUAUGAAGUAUUUACCUUAUAAUACGUGCUAUGUGUAAAUAUAUUAAUUAUUUAUUUGAGGUGAUUGUUGUGUUGAUGUUUUAUACAAGUUUUAAACUGUAUAAGUAUUUUUAUCUACAAAUAUGUUGGGUAGAACAUGGGUAGAUAGUGAUGUGUGAUAAAAUAAAAUUGAUGAGAGGCCUCGACGUGUUUUGAGAUCCAGUCAUCUAGCGGAGUUUGGAUGACGACCACAGACUUUCUAGACAGUCCAGUGGGAAACAUUAGCAUGUCCGCAACCUGUAGGUGUUAAUGAACUAAGGGUGUUCAUUCGCUGUACUCCACCCCCCUCAUGGUUGCCUUUAGGACAUGUAUGGCUGAGGAAACCCCUUAGCAGUAGUGUCCAUCCCGAUGAUAUUCUUUAGGCUAGGUCCCUUGUGACAAGUGUUUAGGGACAUAAAGUGAGGAUAACGGGAACGGGUCAUCAGGGUUAUUGUUGAUUGAUGAACUUAGUAAGUUUAUUAUUAUUGUUGGUUGAAAACUCUAUAUGCUCACCAGGCUCCCAAUCCUAACCCACUCAGCUUUUUAUGUUACAGGUAGUGGACCCCGAGCAUAGUCGGAGAACGACGAGAGAGUUUUGGAUUAUAGGCCAGUAGUUGUAAAUAACUGUUGAAAGGCUUAUAAUGUCUUGUUUAUGCUUUUGAUCUGUAUCGGAACAUGACAUCCCGAGGUUUUCAUAUAUAUAUGGAAAACAUAUACCUUCUUAAUGAAGGGUUUUGAUAAACUUUUAUUAUAUUUUGUUUGGGGACCAAUUCCGCAACAUCUUUUAAAAAGAUUUCACUGAUUUUAUUUUAAAAAGCAUAAAUUAAAUCGGUCUUUUCUGGCCGAGAAAUUAUGGGAUGUCACAGUUGGUAUCAGCGCAUUAGUUUAAGCAAACUAAGAAAUUGUAGAAUUUCUAGACUUAAACAUAGAAUGCUAAGUUAUGAUUAUGAGAUGAGUGUCUACCAUAUUUUAGACACGAGCACUAGUUUAUUUUAGGAAAGAUGCCUAAAGUGCCCUUAUGUGCUAAAUGUUAUAUGUUUGCCAUAUAUGCCAUUAUUGUUCGGAUCUAUGGUCUGUUGCCGACCGAAUCUGGAAACCUUAUGUGUGUAGGAUUCUAACCGUACGAUUACGAGAUUAGAACUAACAUGUAAACGUUUCGGAGGGAUAAAGGAAUUUAAAUACCUAUCGAGGGUAAAGACCUAAAUUCGCCUUAUUCGGUAUAUAGAUUGUAAUGGCAAGAACUCGUAGUGGAGUUGCAAAUGCAAAUGGAAACAGGGAUCAAGAGCCUCAACCUCAAGUAGUUGAGAAAUUACCUGUUGUAGGAGCUGCACCUGAGCCAAUGACGAUGGCUGGGGUACAAGCAAUGAUGCAAAUGAUGUUAGAUCGCCAGAUGGAGGAGACAAGGCGAUUACUACAACAACAUAGAGAAGAGACUACGAUGCCUGUUGAACAGCCCAUAUUGAAUGAAGGGCAAUCAGUAGGAGGGAACUACAGUGGGACUCUUGGUCAAGCCAACCCACCGAUAGUUAGACAAAACAACCAGGAUGGAGGAGUUGAUGGACGCGGAUGCAAAUACAAAGAUUUCAUGGCAUCUAAACCGCCGUGUCUAUCUGGAAGUCCGACACCGGUGGAAGUCAUGAAUUGGAUCUCCGAAAUGGAGACGAUGUUUGAAAGUUGCGAGUGCAGCAACAAACAAAAGACCGCACUUGCAAUUCCUCUAUUAAAGUCUGGUGUGUUGAACUGGUGGAAGUUACUAGCUAAUUCGAUGCCCAAGGGAGAAGCUAGUAAGAUGUCUUGGGAAGACUUUGUACUACAACUAAAACUGCAAUACUGCUCUGAGCAGGAUCUUCUGGAAAUUAAUAAUGAGUUCCAGAAUUUAAAGAAGGGAAAGAUGAGCGUUACUGAAUACGCUGCUAGUUUUACUGAAAAGAUGAAGCUUGUUCCUUACCUAGUUCCAACUGAACUCUCUAAGAUCAACAAGUUUGCCCUCGGAUUACCAGCGGACUUUGGUCCGAUGGUUAAGCAAGCAACCACUUUGAAAGCCGCCAUCUGGGCUGCUAAGAACGUUGAGGUUCAGAUCAGAGAGAAGGGUCUGGAGAGGGCGGAAGUUGGUGAAAAGAGAAAAUUUGAAGGAACUUCAGGUUCCAGCAAGAGAAGCAAAUUUUCUAAGUUUAAGAAGUUUGGAGGAGGAGGAGGUGAAGUGAAGUGGUGUGAGAAGUGCAAGAAAAAGCACUCAGGGAAAUGUAGUGAGGAGGUGACUUGCUUCAAAUGUGGAAAGACUGGGCAUUAUGCCAACGUGUGUCCAUCCGACAAGAGGGUAUGUUUUGAGUGCCAUGAAGAAGGGCAUGUUUUUAAAGACUGUCCGAAGAGGAAGGAUGCUGCAAAGCCCAAUCUACCACCAAAGCCGAAGGCGAGAGCCUUUCAGAUGACACUUGAGGCUGCAAAAGAAGAAGAUCAAGUUAUAAAGUAGUAAUGUGAAUAGUAACAAGUGGUUAGGCCUAUUAGAGGCAUAGUAUAGGGUAAACUUGAACCUUUGUGUAAUCGUUUCAAGGAAAUAAUAUAAACCCUGGUUUUGUCAUAUGAUGAAUUGAAUGACUAUGUGAAAUUCUUGUAUGGCGAUUUGGAGAACUGCGAGACAAUACUUGGGACGAGUAUGAGUAGGUGCGAAUGGUAGUAGAGGCCUAUACUACCGAAAGCACAAGACUCGUACUUGGACCAGGGAAAGUCACAAGGUUACCAAGGAGCUACUUUUUGAUUUCGUCUUGUUCUAGUAUGUUGUUACCAUCGUUUCGGUAAUGACUAAGAAGAUGAUUGUUAUUCUGACCUUAGAGCUCAUAUUGAAUCGAGUCCGACUAAGAUAGGUAUGUUACGUGGUUCAGAGAACCAAGUUCGAUGUAGCAUUUGACUUAAGCCAGAAGAUUGAAGUAAAAGAUGAUUAAAGCGAUCAACAGAAGUAUCACACUCAUUGUUAAAAAAAGUUGAUAUUUAGGAAUAAUACAUGUUGAACUGUGAUUGUAUCACAUUAGAACAUGAAGGAAGGUGUAGUUUGUUCCGAAAAUUGUCCCAAGGAGAUCUGAGUCUAAGUAGUGCAGUAUACAAUGAGAGAUCAUUAGAACAUGACCCAUUGGUCUGUUACAUUAAACGAAGGAAAGUACAUAUUCCAAGAAAAAGAAGGAGUCCUCAAUAAGGAUUUAUUCUGUAACUCGAAGGUUACGAUUGAAAGUCCUAUGGAGAUCUGAAGCUUUUUAGGAUUAGCUGGAUAUUAUCACUGAAUUAUCCAAGGCUUUUCUUCGAUCGCGACUCCAUUGACAGCUUUGACCCACAAAGGAGCUGUCUAUACUUGGAAUGAGAAGCAUAGGAAGCUUUGAGAAGUUAAAGAAGAUGUCGUGUGAAGCACCGACUCUUUCAUCGCCUGACGGAGUUGAUGACUUCACAGUUUAAAGUGAUGCCUCUGCAGUUGGGUUAGGUUAUGUUCUGACCCAAAGGGAUAAAGUGAUACUGUGCGCAUCAAGGCAAUUGAAGGAGCAUGAAAAGAACUACCCCACUCACGAUUUGGAGCUGGCAGCGGUAGCAUUCGCCCGAAAGAUAUGGAGGCAUUAUCUUUAUGGCACAAGGUGUAAACUUUUCACUGAUCAUAAGAGUCUAUAAUAUCUCUUUAAUCAGAAGGAAUUGAACAUGAGGCAACGACGCUGGCUAGAGUUACUUAAGGACUAUGACUGUGAGAUACUUUACCACCCUGGUAAAGCAAAUGUUGUUGCUGAUGCUCUCAGUCGGAAGGUAAACCUUGAAAAGAAAAGGCCAAGAGCGUUGAGAAUUGAAGUUGUCUCGACAAUUGUGGAAAGUAUAAAGAAAGCUCAAGAGGAAGCUUUAGAGAAAAAUGACCGAAAGGANACGUUGGUGUUUGAUAUAAACUGUCAGGGAUUGAAGGUAUUCAAAGAUAGGAUUUGGGUACCUAAGACGGGAUGAGUAAGAGAUCUUCUGAUGGAAGAAGCUCACAAGACCACGUACUCGAUUCAUCCUGGCAUUACAAAAAUGCAUGGGGACCCAAAACCCUAUUACUAGUGGCCGACGAUGAAGCUCGAUGUUGCUAAGUAUGUGGCCGAGUGUGUAAGGGUUAAUGCACAACAUUAGAAACCAUAUGGGAGUUUAGAACCUUUACCCGUACCCAUGGGUAAAUGGGAAGACAUCACCAUGGAUUUUGUGACUAAACUGCCCAGAACAAGGAACGGUCACGACAUGAUUUGGGUGGUCGUUGAUCGCUUCACUAAGAGUGCGCAUUUCAUAGCAGCCAAAGAGAAGUGGUCUAUAGAUAAACUUGCGAAUUCUUACGUGAAGGAAAUUUUGAGGCUUCACGGUGUUCACUUAUAAUAAUAGUUUCCACUCAAGCGUUAAGAUGGCGCCUUAUCACGCUUUGUAUGGGGAAAAGUGUCAGAUGCCAUCAUAUUGGCUGGAAGCUGAUGAAAAGCAGUCUAUGGGACUUGAAAUAGUCCAUUAGAUUGCUGAAAAGUUGUAAGUGAUUAGGGAAAAAGAUGUUAGCUACUCAGAAGAGCGAUGCUGACAAGAAAAGACAACCGAUAUCAUUCGAAGUUGGAGAUUCGGUUUCACUUAAAGUCUCGUUGUGGAAGGGACUUAUAAGAUUUGGUAGAAGGGGAAAGUUGAGUCCAAAGUUUAUUGGACCAUUUAAAGUUCUUUAGAGGAUCGGGAAUCACGCUUACAACCUAGAAUUACCAGAAGAACUAGAGAGCAUUCAUAACACCUUUCAUGUGUGUUAUUUGAGAAAGUUCACGGGAGGUGUGCCCGACAUAAUUCCCAUUUCUGAAUUAAGGUUGGAUGAAAACAAGAGGUUAAUUGGAGAACCUGAUGCAAUCGUUAACCGUAAGACUAAGAAGUUGUAACGUAAGACAAUCGAUUUAGUGCCUGUACGUUGGAAACAUACAAAUGGGCCAAAUCCCACCUGGGAAACGGAGAGUGACAUAGUGAGUCGCUACCCGUAGUUGUUUAUCGUUGUGUGAUUCCGGGGACGGAAUCAUCCUAAGGGGGAGAGAGUUGUAACGCCCGUGUUUCUAGGCUAGGCAUUAAUAUUGACAUAAUGGUCUAGGUUAACCUUUGUAACUCAUUUAGAAGAAAUGAAAAGGAAUUAUGUGAAUUAUGUGUUUUAUGCUUAAUUAUUAGGGCUUAAUUAAUUAAGAAUAAAAAUAAGCGUCAAAAUUAAAGUGUGAGAUAAGCCCGAUAUCUUUACAUAAAGUUGUAGUGGUCGAAACAAGGAUUUCGGGGAUAUAAAGAAUACCAAAAUCCGAGUUAUAACGAAGAAGUUAUGACCUGUCGAAGUUUCGCGACAAAACCGGCACGGUGCUGAAUGUCGUAAAAAGUGAGUUUUUGAUAAACUACUUUUUAGCCUUAGUAAUCUAAACGAAAGUCAUAGUAUUCGUUAAACUGAGAAGUUCGAUAAAAAGAACGCCCAAAUCUGACUUCGUAUGAGGAAGUUAUGAUUUUUCGAAGUUUCAGCGUAGUAGUAGACAACUAAAAACUCGAACUUU
rnacentral:lncRNA from 1 species